rnacentral:misc_RNA from 1 species
GAUGAAGAACGUAGCGAAAUGCGAUAAGUAAUGUGAAUUGCAGAAUUCAGUGAAUCAUCGAAUCUUUGAACGCACAUUGCGCCCGCCAGUAUUCUGGCGGGCAUGCCUGUUCGAGCGUCAUUUCAACCAUCAAGCCCCCGGGCUUGCGUUGGGGCCCUGCGGCUGCCGCAGGCCCCUAAAAGCAGUGGCGGGCUCGCUGUCACACCGAGCGCAGUAGCGAUUUUCGCUCCGGGCGUCGGCGGCGGGCACCGGCCGUGAAACCCCCCAUUUCUCAAGGUUGACCUCGGAUCAGGUAGGAAUACCCGCUGAACUUAAGCAUAUCAUAAGCGGGGA